rnacentral:rRNA from 1 species
CAAGAUGCUAAUACCGGAUAACAACAGAUGAUGCCUAUCAACUGUUUAAAAGAUGGCUCUGCUAUCACUCUUGGAUGGACCUGCGGUGCAUUAGCUAGUUGGUAGGGUAACGGCCUACCAAGGCGAUGAUGCAUAGCCGAGUUGAGAGACUGAUCGGCCACAUUGGGACUGAGACACGGCCCAAACUCCUACGGGAGGCAGCAGCA